AACGCACCUUGCGCUCCUUGGUAUUCCGAGGAGCAUGCCUGUUUGAGUGUCAUGAAAUUCUCAACCUUUCUAGUCUUGACUAGUUAGGCUUGGAUCAUGGAAGUUGCUGGCUCAAUACGAAUCCAGCUCUUCUUAAAUAUAUUAGCAGAGACUUUUGCUGACCAUCUUUGGUAUGAUAACUAUCUAUAUCAUCGAUAACCAGUUCCCUUUCAUCGGGAGGUCUUGCUUCUAAUAGUCUUUUAGACAACUUGACAACUUUGACCUCAAAUCAGGUAGGACUACCCGCUGAACUUAA
rnacentral:misc_RNA from 1 species